rnacentral:rRNA from 1 species
UACGUAGGGCGCAAGCGUUGUCCGGAAUUAUUGGGCGUAAAGAGCUCGUAGGCGGCCUGUUGCGUCCGCUGUGAAAUCCCGGGGCUCAACCCCCCAGCCUGCAGUGGGUACGGGCAGACUAGAGUGCGGUAGGGGAGAUUGGAAUUCCUGGUGUAGCGGUGGAAUGCGCAGAUAUCAGGAGGAACACCGAUGGCGAAGGCAGAUCUCUGGGCCGUAACUGACGCUGAGGAGCGAAAGCAUGGGGAGCGAACAGG